rnacentral:rRNA from 1 species
CCUACGGGAGGCAGCAGUAGGGAAUAUUGCUCAAUGGGCGAAACCCUGAAGCAGCAACGCCGCGUGGAGGAUGAAGGUUUUCGGAUUGUAAACUUCUUUUGUUAGAGAAGAUAAUGACGGUAUCUAACGAAUAAGCACCGGCGAAUGCCGUGCCAGCAGCCGCGGUAAUACGGAGGGUGCAAGCGUUACUCGGAAUCACUGGGCGUAAAGAGCGCGUAGGCGGGAUAGCAAGUCAGAUGUGAAAUCCUAUGGCUUAACCAUAGAACUGCAUUUGAAACUGUUAUUCUAGAGUAUGGGAGAGGUAAGUGGAAUUCUGGGUGUAGGGGUGAAAUCCGUAGAGAUACGGAGGAAUACUCGUGGCGAAGGCGACCUGCUGGAACGUAACUGACGCUGAUGCGCGAAAGCGUGGGGAGCAAACAGGAUUAGAUACCCUUGUAGUC